rnacentral:tRNA from 1 species
GUUGCUGGAGCUCAAUGGUAGACCGCUUGCCUAGCAUGCAGGAGGCACUGGGUUUGAUCCUCAGCACCACA